UUCAUGCUGUGAAGGAGUGGAGUGCAGUGAACUUCCAGGUCACAGCCUGGUUGAGUACCAGGUGAGAAGCCGUGGCUAACGCAGGGAGCUCAGGAGCAAGCAGUGCACCUGAGUUACCAGAAGCAAUGCACCUGGAUCCUGGUUCCACCCCUCCUCAGCCUCAUUUAAGGAAUUGCAGACAGGGGAUCAACUUCUUUAUGGGCUGAGAUCAUGUGUGUCUUGAGCUGUCACUGGUUUAAAGAGGCAGGAAGCACAGAGCAAACAGAACGUAUGGAGCUGGAAUGGCGUUUUCCGCUCAAGUACUGCAUGGUUUAGGAGCAGAAGGAAGAGAGAGCUUAUGGAGAGAGAUUGCAAUACCUUCAUCAGUAUCUAUACAAGUCCUUGCAUUUUCAUUUGGGGGUGUGGGGGGGACUGUGGAAGCAGUAGUUCUAGACCCAAACACUAAGGGUACCAGAGCACAUCAGUAAGGAUUGCUCCACUCCAUAGCCACUGUCUCAUACUUUUGUGGGCUCCAAUAAGCCUGAAACACCCUCUUCCCACUUGCCUGCCCUCCCCCUCUGUGCCAAAUGAGGAGGAGAAGGGAAGCCUGAAUGAAGCAGCUCAUUCAGCAGCUCAGGCAGACGUUUGCUGCAGGGCGGUGCAGCGGCUUACACUGCAGUUCUCCCAAAGAUAAAAGGUUGCAUCUGAGCCAAGCAGCUUGUGCUAGUCCAGACUUCCAGCUUUUGAAACUGUAAAAAUCUCACUGGAAAUGAAAUGAUCAGAAACCAACAGCUGCCGUAAUUCAUCCAGUUCAGCUCCUGGUCUCUGUGCUCUUGGGGCUCCCAGUGGAAACUACAGACAUCAGAGAAGUGUGACUCACGUUAAAAACGGGUCGGUUCCCAGGUAGGGAACUCAGUGAUUUCAGGGGCUUGGGGUGAAUACUUGAUUACAGUCACACACAUUGGUAGAAAAGCAACAUCUUAGCUCCAUGCCAUUCAAACAAAUAGGUUAUGCUUCCAGAUAGAUUUCCUUCUCGUGCCGUGCCUCUUUUUCAGCCUUUGCAGACCAGCAGGCUGUUCUCACUCUUAGCCCGGGUGUUCUAUCACUAUGGGUGCUGCUGAUGAGGACAAGGACACAGCAAUUUCAUCAGCUGCACAGAGCUGGCCAUCAUUCAGGGACACUGUGAUGCUGUGUGGGUAUGGCAGGUAACCACCUCUUGGGAAGGACUUGGAGAUCUGAAGCUGGAUCUUGUUGUAACGUCAGCCUGUAUCACAUCAAGACAGAUCAAACAGCAUCAGACUGGCUUACAAGGCCAGCACCCCUUCUUGGCGUAAUCCAUCCCCCUGGCCAUGCAUAUGAAUGAGAAAAGGAAAUGUUAUUUCUAUAGUGACACAUCCCUGAGAGCACCGAAUCUGGAUUUAUUGAGGUCACAAAACUGACUUAGCACUGCGCUACCCAGACUGUAGGAUAAAUAGAUGUCUUCUAUUUAUAAUGCUGCCAAUCUGACGCCGCUCGCAAGCUCUAAAAAUAAAACUUUGU
ensembl:lncRNA